rnacentral:rRNA from 1 species
GAUGAACGCUGGCGGCGUGCCUAAUACAUGCAAGUCGAGCGAACAGAUAAGGAGCUUGCUCCUUUGAAGUUAGCGGCGGACGGGUGAGUAACACGUGGGUAACCUACCUAUAAGACUGGGAUAACUUCGGGAAACCGGAGCUAAUACCGGAUAACAUUUAGAACCGCAUGGUUCUAAAGUGAAAGAUGGUUUUGCUAUCACUUAUAGAUGGACCCGCGCCGUAUUAGCUAGUUGGUAAGGUAACGGCUUACCAAGGCGACGAUACGUAGCCGACCUGAGAGGGUGAUCGGCCACACUGGAACUGAGACACGGUCCAGACUCCUACGGGAGGCAGCAGUAGGGAAUCUUCCGCAAUGGGCGAAAGCCUGACGGAGCAACGCCGCGUGAGUGAUGAAGGGUUUCGGCUCGUAAAACUCUGUUAUUAGGGAAGAACAAAUGUGUAAGUAACUGUGCACAUCUUGACGGUACCUAAUCAGAAAGCCACGGCUAACUACGUGCCAGCAGCCGCGGUAAUGCGUAGGUGG